rnacentral:rRNA from 1 species
AGAAUGAACGUUGGCGGCGUGGAUUAGGCAUGCAAGUCGUACGGGCCGCAAGGCCAGUGGCGCAAGGGUGAGUAAGGCGACGGUAACCAACCCCAUGACUGGGUAUAGCCGCGGGAAACCGCGGGUAAUCCCCAGCGACGUCGCGACGAGGCAUCUCGUUGCGACCAAAGCCCCGGCGUCGUGGGACGGGCUGUCGUGGUAUUAGCUUGUUGGCGGGGUAACGGCCCACCAAGGCGACGACGGGUAGCU